UUUCAGAGUCACAGCCGUCCCGGAGAGCCGUGCCCCGGCCGAAGGAGCCUCCCUGGAGAGACAAAAACACCCCGGUUCCAGCGCCCUUGAGUAGGGGCUGGCCCGAGCCCUGGGUGAGGCAGUGAAGCCGCUCAAGUAUCUGAUAUCACACAGCAGCACAGGAGCGCAGGUCCGAGGCAGCCAGUUUUCUGCUCCAGGAUGUGGGAAGCAAACUCCCAACCUCUGACCCCUGGCAUCUGGCUUCCAACACACGGUGACCUCGAUGCGGUUACAGCAACCGAGCCGGGAAAGUGCCGUCACCGUGCUCCCCACGAGAGGCAGGAGCCGCUACUGCUCAACCCCGAGCCCUGGAGGAGGGACCCAGGAGUCACCCCAAAUCUCCCCUCUUUUUUCUCCCAUGCAUUGAUUUACAAUCCUGUGCAAAAAGAGAGAGGAGUUUGACGAUGGCUUUGUCCCUCUUUUUCUCUUUGGGGGAACAAUGUGUCAUUUCGCCCUGACACAUCCUCGGGGACAGGGCUAAAAUUGUGACACUUGAGAGCAGGUUAUCGUGUCCCAAGAGACCAAUCUGGAGAUGUUUUGGGUGAUAGCGAUUGGGGGCAGGGAUACGUGUAGGAGUACCUGCAGGUCUGUCUGCAGGGCUCCUUUGCUCUCUGGUCCAGCCAGAAGCCCCAGGCUGGCCCCCAGCCCUGGCUGGCCGGGCAGAAGGCAUCCCUUGUGGGGCCCUCUGGCUGGGGAAGGCAUCCCGAGCCCCUGGGUGCGCCCCCAGGGGAAGCCCAUCUCCGUCACCCUCUGCCAACUUCUCCGAGCCUCGGCGCUCAGCCACGGGGUUCCGGGGAGCUGCGGAUGCCAGGGCUUCCUGAACCCUCAGACCUCUCCUGUCUACCUCAGGGCCUCACAGCUAAGCCCCAAGUCUCUCCCAGGUGCCUGCUAGAAGCCACCAGGGCCCGGACGCCCGUGCGUCCCGUACUAAGUCCCAAGCUGGGGUUCUACCACCUGCCACAGCCAGGUUCCCCAAACCCACCCAGGGACACCCGGCUUUUCCCCGAGGCAGCUCACAGCUCGUUUCUCCGGGUGACCAAAGGGCCACAGCAGCAGUGUGACAGGGCGCCUAGGGGAGCGCAGGGCGAGCCUGAGGCCACAGUCCGGGUACCUGACUGAGGGGAUGAGUGAAGGAAGGACAGGCAGCCUUGGGGCCACAGAGGCACUAGACUCCCCUUCUGCUGGGCGGCUUGCACACUACCAAGCCUCCCGGUGCCUCAGUUUCCCCAUCUGCCCGGUGGGCGUGGAGUCUGCGGCCGGGCUGUGCCGAGCUCCGCGGGGCACCUGGCCACCUGGCCCUCCGCCCGCGGCUCACCCUGGC